CACCAGGAUCUUACUGUGGAAUGGUUUUCCCCAGACAUAAUGGGACCCAUCUGGUCCACCCACUCAGUUUUCCAAAAAGCACCGGAUAUCAUCAAGACUCUCUGAAGAAUGUUUCUAUGGAUGACACAUUGUCCCCGGCGCCCCAUAUCUCCAGCCACUUUAAACAAUCCUCCUUCUUUCUCUGGAUUUCCCCAAGCUGGAGUCAUCCUCAGAGACCAGUUCUCCAUCUGAUGCUCCGUCCUUCAUGGACGGCUUCCUCUACUGCUCCGCCGGUCCGGCCAAGGCCACCCUGGACAGGAGAGGCAGAGACGACAUGGUGCGACGCUGGUGUACUCUGGAGGGGGGCUUCCUUAGCUAUUAUGAGAAUGAACGGAGCCCCAUGGCAACCGGCAGAGUCGACAUCACUGAGGUGGUCAGUCUGGCCGUCAACAACACAGAGACCAUGACUGGAGCUGGGUAUGGACACACACACACACACACACACACACACACACACAAACACACACACAAACACACAUACACACAGAAACACACACAAAAACAAAAAACAAACACACACACACAUGCAUUCACGAAUACACACAUACUUUCUCUCACGCACACUCUUUGACACCCCCCCCCCUCUUUGACCUUCUGAACAUACCUAACAAACUUCGCUGCACAUUUCAUAAUUGUAUGAAUGGUUUAUGUGUUGUAUUGACAUCAGCAAAAUUAGGUUAAAAGUGCAGAAACCACCAGGCGUCUACCAAUCCAUCUUUGUAAUGAACUUCUUAUCAAUUCAAAAUUGAGAAAAAAAGUUGAUAAGCUAAAUCACUUACUAAGAGGGACGUAAACUAAGACAGACAGACAUGUGAACAGAAAAAACACUAACACUAGAUACAGUUGAAGGCAGAAGUUUACAUACACCUUAGCCAAAUACAUUUCAACUUCGUUUUUUUUCCUCACAAUCCCUGACAUUUAAUCCUAGUAAAAAUUCCCUGUCUUAGGUCAGUAAUCACCACUUUAUUUUAAGGAUGUGAGAUGUCACAAUAAUAGUAGAGAGCAUGAUUUAUUUCAGCUAUUAUUUUUUUUAUCACAUUCCCAGUGGGUGAGAAGUUUACCUACUCAAUUAGUAUUUGGUUAAUUGCCUAUACAUUUUUUUUUUACUUGGGUCAAACGUUUCGGGUAGCUUUCCACAAGCUUCCCACAAUAAGUUGGGUGAAAUUUGU
rnacentral:lncRNA from 1 species